CCUAGGCACGGUGGUGCACGCCUGUAGUCCCAGUUACUCGGGAGGCUGAGGCAAGAGGAUUGCUUGAGUUCAGGAGUUCUGGGCUGAGGUGCACUAUGCUGAUCUGGCGUCCACACUAAGUUUGGCAUCAAUAUGGUGACCUCCCAGGAGUGGGAAACCACCAGGUUGCCUAAGGCGAGGUGGCCCAGGUUGGAAAAUGUGUCAUUUAUAAGUAUCUCUCAGAUAAUCAUUAGUUGGAUUUGGCCAGUGUUAGAACUCUCUGUUUAUCUCCAUCUAUUGAAAAAAAAAAGCUUAUUUAAU
rnacentral:SRP_RNA from 1 species